rnacentral:lncRNA from 1 species
CUCAUUUUCUUUUCACAUUCCUUUUCUACUUUUGCCUUUUCUUUUUUUUUCAUUUGGCUUUUCUUUUUCGUUUUCUUCUUCUUUUUUUCUUUUUCAUUCGAUUAAGAUACAGAAGAUUUCAUUCUUGUUUGAUCUUCGAAAACUUGCUUCAGUGUCAAUGGGGCUAAAGUGAAUUUUUUUCCUAUAUACUCGAAUGAAUAUCUAUUUGUAUAUCCAUCAUGGAUAACUCGUCGAUCAUAUUGUGAAGAUCGUCCAAGCAAUAGGUGUCCCGCGUGCAUAGGAAC